CAAUCGGUCCUUUUCAGGACCACCAAAUCUUUACUAAAAAGAUGAA
rfam:Drosophila grimshawi strain TSC#15287-2541.00 scaffold_14978 genomic scaffold, whole genome shotgun sequence.